AGUGAAUGGAGUUAAUCAUGUAUUAAAUUAUGAAUCGCAUUCGCAGACUUUAGCUGCGGCUUUGCGCUCGUCCUUCAUCCGGCUGUUGUCCGGUUCCGUUGGACCUGAGCCGCUGCAGCGCGUCCUUCUGCCCUCUGGGCGGAUCAGCUGCACGGAGGAGAGGCUCAGCUCCUGCUGCCGAGCCCGGUCAGCGAGCAGAGCGCUGCUCGCACGCGCCACCCGACACCGAAGUCGAUGCUGUUCGACGCUCGCAUGGUUGCGUGAAUGUUCCCGCUAAUUGCCUGACGGGACGGGUCGACGGUUCGACCCGUGGACUGUGAAUAUUAAAGCUUCAGGUUGCAGGUUGAAAACGGUGGUCAACACUCCAAUAUUAAAUUGAUUUUUUUCCAUGAAAUGUGCGUAUUUUAUCUAUUAUAAUAAUUUAAUCCUACAUGUCACUUUAAGCAUCUACAUUGUGUUGUUCUAUGACGGUUUUACCUCUAAAGUGAAUCUGUUUGGUGUAAAGCUGUUCAUCAACGGCGAGGAUUUUCUAGCAUUUCAUAACCAGCAGCGCAAAUGAUUUGGAGGAGGAACUGUUUUGUGGUGUAAUGAAGGUUACGGCCUCGCAGGAUAAUCUAUCGCGGCUGCUUUCAAAAUUGCUUCCAUUCCUCAGGAACUAUUUAGCAGUGGCAGCGUUUCCCGUCACGGUGUGGAGAAAUGAGACGGGGGGAGAAAGCGAGCGAUUGGUUCCGGUUUUACCCAGCCGGGUAAUAUUAGCACGGCUUCAGAACCUUGUUUACUCUGCGGGUCGGAGCAUUCAUCUGCAGCUGGCGCCGGGAGGCCUGAAUUAGUCCGUGACUUAUGAACGGCAGCUCCGACUCACACCGGGACCCGCUCGGGCCGAGGUUCUGCGUUCGGUUCUGACGACGCGCCAUGACAGCACCGAGCGUCCUCGUGCACGAGGUUCCUGUGGAUGGACCGAGUCCACGUUCUGCGCCGUGCGUCACCAGAACCGUCACCUUGGCUCCUCACCUUGCAGAUUAACAUCGGUGCCGAGUGUUUGCGUCUUAUAAAUCCCGUUUUAUGGUGACUCUGUGGCUGAUGUGGACUCCCUCACAGACUUUAUUACUGAGGAAAAAGGAGACAUCAGGGCUUCUAAAGUGGUUUAAGCAAAGAGGAGGAGGGAGAUUUAUCCCUCAGAAGGAAACAAUAAAGGCCUAUCUCUCAGCAGCAGCGCAGGCUCCUGGCAGAGCCGCUCUAUUAUAUCUACAGAAGAAGACGUGUGCCUGUGACCCAGGCUCCUCCUGCCCGAAGGGCUCGGCUCUGCUUCACAUCGGACCACCCCUUUUAGAGCAGACGGGCUCAAAUACGGCGGCAGGUCCAGAGGUGUCUGGCGUCACCAGAUUUCUCAAGAACCAGUCAGAACCCGGCCGCGUUGUCCUGUUGGUGGCGUUGCCCAGUCGACCUCAGGCCUCGUUUUAUCCAAACCGAUGAAACACAAGUAUUCAUGAAGCAUUAUUGUUAUUGUAUACAGUCAGAUGAUAAACGUCCCCCUGGACGAACGGCAGCGUCUCUGUCCCUUCACUGAUUCACUGCUUCCUCCCUCCUUCACUUUAUCCCACUCUGCUCUCCCACAGGGGGUGAGUGGCCACAUUUUCCUGCCCUCGUUUCCCCCCCCCGUCCAGAGGCAGAGGAGGUGGGACGUGGAAGGAGACGUCUGAGGUCAAAGGUCAGGUCGAGGGGUCGUGGCGUGUUUGUACCACAGUGUUGCGUUCACAGGCAGCUGGACUCAUCGCUGAGGCUGCUCUUCAGCAGACAGGUGGUUUGAAUCCUGGAACCUCCGUCUGCUGCCUUGCUCUGCCUCCACGUCUUUCGAGACGUCUCACAGCAGAUGCCACGACAUCGCUGGUCCUCAUCCCGGGGACGCCUCGGUCCCUCGGGGCUCGGCUGAUUGGCAGGGCCCUUAAUUGCGACCACCUCUUGGAUGAAUAAUAGAUGCUCGUGAAGCUAAGUGGAGGAAUGAAAUAUUAAGAGUCCUCUGACAUAUCGUACAAGUCUAUUUUUAAAGAGCCACGAUCGACGUGGGGGAGGGGAAAUCAAAGAGGGUCCCGGGUUCAGCAGGAGGCUCGUGUUUCCGCUGGGCUCCAGGCUUCACGUUAACACGCCUGUGUGUGCAUGAAGUCCCAGCUGGAGAACCCUCCUCCACCUCCCAGUCAGCGACGCGCGCCCCCCCCCAAAUGAACAAUCAGAGUUUCUCACUGUGACCCUACGCUCAGCUGUGAACCCGGUGCUUGUUUAUGUGCGGAGCCUCCUGGAUGCGUAUGAGGAGGAGCGUGCACUAAUGACAGAGGAGAUUGCUCCGACCCGCUCCACCUGGUACCGGACAGAAACAGGCUCCGCUGAGCGCGACACGUGGAGCGCUUCCUCUUUGGGUUUGUUGAGCGUGUCCUGCUGUUGUGCAUCCAGACCCAGAGGCCCGAUCGCACCUGAAGGCUCCGGUCCAGUUGCCCUUUGGUCUCGUGCACAGUGAUAACUCACCGGCGUCCAGUCGACCCACGCGCAGCGAAUGCAGCUCCGUGUGAGGGCCGAGGGCCCCGGUCGGCGCUGACAAACGAGCGGCGCCGAGCGGGAGCAGGCGGCCUGUCGACGGCCCCCCCCGGGCCCGCUUCCUCCAUCACCGCGCCGCCUUUUAAUCAGCAGCAGCUGUAAGAGCUUGUGCUUGCCAUGCUCAGUGUGUUUGACAGGGUUUGAAUAAUUACGUCUCCCGAUCGCUGCAGCCGGGGAAUAAUGAGCUGAUAAAUCACCGGCGGCGCCUUCACGCAGUCAACAUUUCUGGGCUUGUUUUGGGCUCAGGCCUGAGCUCGGCCACGGGUUCUAACCGGCGCUGAGGAAUGAUUCAAGCGACCCACCGAGAGGGAGUCCAGUCAUAAUAUUAUCAUGUAAUUUUUAUUAGUUAACCUCAUUCAACGACAAAAGCUGUGAAGCAAGAUACGAAUGAAACUCGCUCUGUGAUUUAUCAGAACACGGCCCGACUCACAGCUUCACAACGAUGAGGCCUCAACUUGAGAGCGGCUUCGGACGUUAUCACGCCAUUCAAUGGUCAUUAUCAGUGGUUAUCAGCCCAUACGUAUGGGCCGGUAGGUGCCCAUCUACCUGCUGGCAGCGGUGAAUAGGUGCGGUAGAUCGUUGUCAAUGAUCCGUAAGGUUGAUCACGGCUCGGAUGAUUUAACCAGCAGAGUCAGUGGGGGCGCUGUUGAGCGGUUGUUGUUCCGACGGGAGGAUCGAAGUUUUUGAUUUUGAUUUAUUAGCGAGCAUAACUUAGCAAGUAGCUAGCGGUGUUGUGUUAGCUAACUAUAACCUGAACCCCCCACCCGUUAUCCAGCCCUAACACUAACCACAAUAACCUCUAAAGCUGCUUAACGUAGCAACUUAGCUAGCUGUUAGCUGUUUGCGAGGAGGCAGAGCAGGCACCUACUGGCCCAUUCGAAUGCGCUGAUAAGUUCUGAUCAGCCCAUUCGUAAUGGCUGAUAACAUCCGAAGCGGGUGAACUUGAAGUCUAACAUUUGGCAUCAUCUCUUCACCGUGAAUUCGCCUCUGAUCACAUCUGAAAAGCAUGAAUAUUAAUGUAAUGGCUAAUGUUUAACCCCUCCACUGUGCGCGUCGGCAGAGCGGAGCUUGUAUUUCAUUUUCUGCUGCUCCGGAGCCGCGUGAAGAGGAGAGCGCGAUCAGUGACGGGCUUGGAUGUAAUUGGGUGAUUUACUCCGCUCCCCGGGGAUUCAGCCCAUGAAUUGAUGAAACGGCAAAGGCAGUAAAACACCGAACGGAGCAUCUGCAGGGACUCAUCAGUCAUGAGCCGGGAGGCGUGAAGCAUCUCCAGGACAUUUGAGGAAGAAGAGAUGAAGACGUGUGAGCGCUUUUAGUUCAGCCUCAUUCUUCUGUUUGUGGUUUUAGCGGCCGGAUCCAUCACGUGUGGAGGCAGUCCAGUGAAAGUGAGACCUGUGGAGCCGAACAAGCUCCACCCACUGUGACAUCAUCUUCAGUUUCUGGUUCCUCCUGAUCCUCCUGACAUCUGACGCUGCGUCUGCCUCCACUGAACGUGGUGAUGUAUUGCGAAGUGGGCCGAACGGCGCCGGUCCCGGCUCGGCCCGGGGCCGUGGGUCAAUCAUCCAAGUGGGUCUGAGCGACGUGUCAGGAACCGGCCCGACGAGGCGGAAACGGGAGCAGCUAAUUAUCUCAUGACAAUCCUCCGUCUCCGUCUUGGUGCCGUUUUGUUAGCUCUCUGUAUCUUCAGGAGGAAAAGAUAAGCAAUCGGCGUCUCCCGUGAAGCCGAGGGAGAGCAGAGCUGUGAUUGAGUGCGGCGCGCUUUCAUCCCACCGCCCGUUGUCAGGCUUGUCAUCGCUGGGCCGUCGGGGCUGGAGCUCAGGUAGGACAGCUUCUACAGCGCUGCCAGGCCCACGGCUCCGGCAUAAUGAGCCAUCUGGGCCCAGAGAUGUGCUCUGGCACCAGAGUCACACGCGCCCCGGCAGGACGCCGCUCCGCACAGCCUCAAAGCUCAUGAAAGGCAUGAUGGGAGGAGUCGGCACGUUUCCUCCUGCAGGGCAGGUCAGAAGAUGGUGGUUUGGUGUAAAACCGUGAGUCUAACCAUGUUUCUGUGUCCUGUUCCUCUGUGACGGCUAUUGUCCCGAAUGAUGGUUGACCUUCAUCUCUGUGACCUUCGUCCUCCAUCAUUAGGAGCCACGAUGUGUGACACCAGUAUUAACUCUAUUACAAUCAGUGAUCAUGCACCAGUUUCUGUUUCCUUGACUAAGACAGUUACACCACCAAGCAGGAAUUAGAGAUUUGAUACAUCAUUACUCAGUGAUCAAGACUUCAUCAUUUAUGUGAAGAGAGUGAGAGUGGGCAAAUCACUUUAUGGAAAUCAACGAUACUCCAGGAACCUCACCUUAUGUUCUGUGGGAGACUGGAAAGGCAUGCUAGAAUUAUUUCAUCCUCACAUGUUGUAUGAAUCAGAAUCUUGAACUGAAAUUAAAUAUAAUAAAUAAUUAAUAAGAAUGCUCGGUUAAAAAAAGAGGUCUGGAAAACAUUGACCAUGCUAACAAAUGUGUGAAUUCUUUACUAACCUUGUAGUGGGACAAAUAACCAGAUAAAUACCACAACCAAUACAUAGUCAUCUCAUCUAUUAUCUGUCAGGAGUGCUGGGCGGUUUGACAAAGCGGACCCACACGCGCGGCACUGAGGGCAGCAGGGUUUAGUAGAAGAGCUUUAAUGUUCACCAUGCUCCAAUCACAGGUACAGGACAGACUUGAGACUCACGUACACGGUCAGACAGGCGAGGUCGGUAGCAGAAAGGCUCAGCAAACAGAAGGGCUAGAGGCGAGGUCAGGAACAAACAGGGCUGGUAACUGGAACACAAACUGGAACUGCUGGAAAGCGGAAAUGAAUCUACCACAAUCUGGCAAAGGACUAUGGUGAGUACUGGAUGUUAAAUACGUGAUUACUGAUUACCAACAGCUGAUGUAACUGAGACUGGAAGCAAAGUUAGCGCUGAGCGUGGGCUGAACAGACACAGCGAUAACCAAAACGUGACAACAGGUAAGAACAUGACAUUAUCACUGUUUUUAAACUCUGAUUAUGAAAGUUGAGAUAUUGUAUGGAGGUAUUAUGUGAUUAUGUAUAAUUAUAUAUGCACAAGUACAUAGUAUAUGCUAGCAUCAAUAUUAACAGUCAAUAUUGCAGUUAUUUACUCACUAAGAUGUUAAAGGUUUACCGAAGAGGUAUCUUUGUUUUAAAUUUAGUUUAUUUUAAUCAUUAUUUUUUUUAUCUAUAUAUUUAUAAUGUGUUUAACAUGUUGUUUUGCUUCUGAUGUUUUCAGCUGCUCCAGACAGGACAAAAAAAAUUGUCUGCAGCAUGAAGCUCUGUGGCCCUCGUUUUGUGUGUUCAUCUAAUAGAGUAAUGUGAUACACACCGGUUCAUUCAUGCAAAUAACCGCCGCCGCCGUGGCUGUGAUCAUUUACAUAAUGGUCUCAAGGGAAGGAGCUCUCGGCCACAUGUGGAGGGCGGGUGGCAGAGCCUCUCGUUAGCUACCGGAGUCGCUCUAACCAGCAACGUGAGCUGCGUCCGAUGGGGGAGCUCUGAAACCCCCAGCUGGGCCACGGAUCAUCAUCAUUCAUCAUUCAUGGAGGCAAAACAAACAACGGCCUCCAGCUGAUCUACAGACAGGAAACGGAUCCACCAACAGAAGCCGAUUUUGGACUUCCAGCCACGUGACCUGGACCCAAAUAUUUAUAUUCUGUGUGUAGCAGAAGCUGCUGCGUGGAGGCGAUGAGAGGAGGCAGGAGGAGAUUGCUUUGCCUGACGCUGCCACGGUGAUGGAUGCAGACGGGCACACGCAGCUGAGGUGUACCCGAAAUAAAACACAGCCGGGUUCCAGCCCAAAUGACAUCACAGGCUGAUCAUGUCCCGUAGAGAGGAAGUUAUUGUUCAUGUGACAAACCUUCAUACGUCUGAGUGACUUAUGAGGUGAGUUUGUGAUGAAACGGGACGUUAGUGGUGGAGAGUCUGGAGCUGAUCACACACACAGUGUCCCACCUGAGCUGUGGGCUCAUCUGGUUCCCUUCUGGGUCUCGGCCCGGUGGGCACGUGUUGUCAGAACCACGCAUGCACAGUGGUAGCUCGGUACCAUUAGCGGUGUGGGAUCCAGCACGGGCUUUAAUGAGCUCUUAUCUGCACUAGCACGCCGGCAUCUCCCGUAAUUGGCUCAGGUUGUGUUUGCGGUUCAGCAUCAUCGUGUCUAAUUAAAGUCAACACUUGUCAAAAUGCUAAUUUGCAACAUCCCCGUCUGCGGAUCCUCAUUUGGCCGCGUGUCCCGCUAAAGGUCGCUCGUCAGCUGGAAGCCUUCAGGUGACCGGUGCCGACCCAGCGACACGUCAACACACAUCGUUGUGUGUGUGUGUGUGUGUGGUGGGGGGUCAUCACAGCUCCAUCAGGCUGCUGCUUUGUGUGGUUUCAGGCACUAUUUCAUUCCCAGCAGGUUUGAUAAAGCGUCUGAUUGAUUUUUCCUGCAGCUUUUGUUUCCUUUGAAGCCUGACUGAUAAUAGCCUCAGGAUUCUGGACCUUCCAGGGUUCUGGACCUCAAGUGGCCCUCUGUUCCGUUUCCAGUUAUUUUUCUGGUUCUGCCCCCUGUUUACCUCAAACGAAGAGUGAGGAAAGGAAACUUCCCCCGUCCCCUCAACGUCACCAGGAUCCAGGAUGAAGAGACGGAGCAGAUAUAACCCGUGCUUCUCGCUUGAGCUUGGCGCCAAAGUGCUGCGUUCAAAGAACCGUUCUCUUCUAUUCUCGCCUGUCUGCAGCUCAUUACGCGGCAUCUGUUUGUCUGCAGACGCACAGGUAACACGGUGUAAUUACACCUCCUCCGCUGCAGCAGGAGGUCGGAUUCUUCGGGGGGGGUUCGCCAGAUGUGCAGGCAGAAACUCCAGCUGCUGGGUCCGAAACAGCAGCAGAGACCGCCACUGUGCACGUGGAGGAUGGACAUCAGCCUCUGAGGUGAAAACCGCGUCUCUGGACGCCGCCAGUCUGUGAAGUGAUGGGAAAAACACCAGCAAAUGCAGCCGGCGCUGAGUGUGAGGUGACGCAGCAGCAGGAGGAGCAGGGGUAACAAGCGAAGGAGGAGCUCGGCUCCCUCGUUUUAACCUCCCGUGUGUGGUGAACUGGAGCCAUAAAGGUUAAUGGCUUUUUACAGCUGCGAGGCCUUAAUCAUGUGCUAAUUAGAGUUUGUUCCAUUUUGUCUCUCGACAAUUAGCCUCUCACGUUCCAGUAACCGCAGAGAGUCUCGACUCCGUCUGACCCGAAGGCAGAGUCUGGACUCACGUUGUGGCCGAGUCCAUCCCUCACACACACACACACACACACACACACACACACACACACACACACACACACACACACACACACACACACACCGUGGACAAACCAGGUGAGUCCUGCUCAGUCCUGGUCUCAUGUUUUCAUUUACCCGCCUGGUUUCUGGUUCAUUGUCAUCUCCCUCUUCCUUUUCUUGAAACAGAUUUCUUCUUUGUUUUCUUAUCUCUCAAAUGCUGUGAGCUCCACCGCUGACCUUGGCAGUGCAUUCAGUGUUUGUCGACCUUCAGCUGGGUCAGAGAAGCUCUUUACUUUCCCUGCGACAGCUCCUCUGUUCAUCACACGAUUCAAACCUUGAAGACAAAACGACGUGUGAUCAAACACUUCAGUGAUAAUAGAACCUGAGGAGUAGACGCUAGCAGUGGGUCAGUACAUGCAACUCUCACCACUUGGUUCUGAAGAGAAGGGCACAACCACCUCUCUGGGGCCCACAGACGUUCACUGGGAAUGAUGCUUCCACCCGUCCAUGUUUCUCUGGCCACGGAAGCCGUCCCACGUCCCCAGAGUCAUCGCUGUGCCUGAGUUCUCUGCUGAAGCAGCUGAGGCGCAGCCCUUCGUUUUAUUCAGGGCCGUUUCAGCAGCAGCAGCUUCCACUAAACAACAAACUCUAUCAGAGCCGACACUGUGAGAUUCUCGUUAGCCUCGGCGUCAGUAAUGAUGAGCAGCUAAUGCUCAGGUGUCCUGCAUCAGACGCCAACAAACGCUCCUCAACUGCUGAGCCCUCAGAAAUGCAGCUGUAAAAUGGUGAUGAGGCUGCACUUUACUAUUAAUUCUGCUCCGCUGAAUGAAUGAAUUUUUCAAAUUUUCAUUUCGUACCUCAUCAGUGACUCAUGCUGCAUCGAAUUAUAUGAUCUGCUAUAUUAUUCAAAUAAAGCGCAUUGGAGGUGUGGCUGGAAUGUGGAGGAGGCUGUGAUGGAGCCAGCGCUGACACAGGAAAACACAACUGAACUGUACGAAUCAACACGGCGACUUGAACUGCAAACAAACAGCAUCGACCGCUGUGCUGUUGAUCUCCUUUUUUUCGCAUGAUUAGAAAUAUGCUGUGUAACGGAGGAAAAUCACAGAACAGAGCUGCUGAACUUUAAAGAGAAUGAAUCACCACCAAGUCAGGUUCUUUAACUCACGUUCUUAUUUUGGCAUCUCUGAAUGUGAACGUGAGCUCUGACUUUGAUUUGAUGUCUUUUCCACAGGUCUGAGACACAUUUAUCCCAGUGUUUGUCCGUCAGUCUCUCUGUCUGAGGUCCAGAACAUCUCAGGCAUGUGGGCUCUCUGCGUUCUUCUGGGCUUUGGGUUGUUUUGACACAAAAGAUAAAUUCUGAUGGUCCACAGAUUCAAACUUCAGAACCCACCUGUCCCACAUUGUUCUGCAAGCUCCGUCUCUCUAACGCAGUUGUUCAGCGGCGCUGAGCUAUUUUGAGGCCUCUGAUGGCAGCUGAUGAAGAGCGGACCAGCGUCUGGAUGAGGAGUGGGCAGCUCCUGCCUUCACAGGGCGCCUCUACAGCCUCUGACGCAGACGUCCCGGCCGCAGCGACCUUCUGUUGAUGUCACACAGAUGUUUGAGGCCUCGGCGGCUCCAUGUGCAGAUGUGUCACUCCAGCUCCAGGCCCACGGCGGGAAACGCUCCUCGUCCCCGUCCGUUCUCUGUUUUGAACGCUCCUAAACGUCAGCGGGGUUGGUUUCUGCAGAGUCACAGGGAAGUCACGGCUCCGCGGGCUGAUCCAUCCAGCGGCGGCUUAUUCUGACAGCUGAUGUCAUAUCAGACCGGGAGUGAUGGAUGCGUCCGGUGCCGUGACUCACCACUGUCUCCUUGGACUGUGGGUGAGAAGGGCUGUUUAUAUAAUCUCCUCCCUGAGCAGAGUAAUAAGUGGAGAAGCGAAUAAAGCAGUGAGUAAACUGGAUGAAUGAAGGAGUUCUGCAGAACCGACUCCCAAGACUUUGUGGACAACCGCUCUGUCCAGUUCUAAUAUACCUCCUAGGUCCGAUGUCAGACCUUCCCUGUAGGAGCUGAGGCUUGUCUCACCACCACCCGUGUAUUAAUAGCUGGACUGGGCUCCAGCUCCUUCUUCUCCAGUGCCACCGUCAGACUGAGCGACUCCUCAGUGGAGGAUGAACCACAUUCCACUCAUUAGAGUGUUGGAUAAAAUAAAACUGUGUGUGUGUGUGUGUGUGUGUGUGUGUGUGUGUGUGUGUGUGUGUGUGUGUGUGUGUGUGUGUGUGUGUGUGUGUGUGUGUGUGUGU